GCCCAGACAGCUCUGCCACCCAGUCUAAGUGGCUUCUGCUGGUCACCAGAGAUCGUGUCUCCAUGGGCUCCCCUCAACCAUAGCUGUCACUAGAACACACGAGGAAGUUGUGUGUAGAAAGGCAGAGGGGAAAGAAGCACAAAUUAUACAAGCUCAGCUUCCCUUGCAGGCUGGAGUGGUGAGCGUGUGAAUCCAGAGAUGCCCAGAGAGCUUCAGCUCGCAGCCAGGAUGGCCAAUCCAUAAGCUUAGCAAGCUUCAGAGCAAGAGGAAGAGCUCAUCUACUCUGUUUUCCAUUGGACUGACCACAUUUGUUCUUGCAUGGGGCCUGUGUCAUUUUAAUUUUAAUUUUUGUAACAAAUGGCUCAUGGCCACGGGGACAGAAACACUCUGAAUUAGUAAAACAAACAAUAGCGGAAGCAUGGUCAUCAUCUGAAGACCUUGUCAAUCACCAUUGCCAGAGUUGCAUACCGACAUGGGCCGGGUGUGCUCCUAGAGGCCACAUGUAAAAGAGCCCCUGUAAAAGAAAGCCUCUUAUUGGCCCUUCCAGCCUACUAAGAAUUAGAUCAAAUAACAUAGAAGAGAUUCCAUGUGAUGAGGCAUCCGCCCCACACUGGCAGAGAAGGGAUUAAUAGAGCCCUAGGGAGGCUGCGCAGGAAGCAGCCAAUAGGAGAGGGGCUGCGAGGAACAGCCAGUCAGGGCCCAGCAGGCCCAUAUAAAAAGAGCUGCUGAGCAGAGAAGUGUCAGUUGCUGCUAGGAGUAAGGACUGUGUCCCUGGAAGACUGAGGGCAGGUCUUCACUACCUGCCGAAUCGUCCAGAUGUGUGGUAAAAAUUAGAGGGAACACUGCCAGGGUUCUCCCCGCUUGCCACUGGACUGUUGGCCCGAGAGACCUAUCCCUGGAACGGGGGAACACAGAUGAUGACUAGCUGGAGGGCUGAGGCAAGACGAGGAUGCUGCGGUUCUGGGAGCUGAGAGAGGAGCCGUAGUUGGGAGCAAAGACUGUGUCGGUGUGCAGACUGCAAACGUAGAAUUCCAUCCAAUGAGUUGGCCAAGAACCACAUGACACCUAUAAGGGGAUCACAUUUGUGAAGGACUGCAUCUAUAUUCCCCCCUGGACCUGCAAGAGUGGCAGUUCUCCAACUGUGCCAUGGCAAGUGUCUUGCACGGCACCUUGGCAAGACAUGGCAAUAUAAAACUCAACGAUUAGCAUAUCAUUUUUUCUGGUGGCCCCGAAUGAACACCAUGGUAAAGACAUUUACAGCUUCCUACUAGGUGUGUGCCUGCAUCAAGAUCCCUUGCCAGAAACCCUGCAGUCUCCUCCAACCUCUGGACACACCAUCUUGGCCCUGGGAAGCCAUUUCCUUGGACUUUGUGGCAGAACUACCAGAAUCCAGUGGUUUCACUGCCAUCUUAACAGUGGUAGAUGCUCUUCUAAAAUGGCUCACU